AGAGUUUGAUCCUGGCUCAGGAUGAACGCUAGCGGCAGGCUUAACACAUGCAAGUCGAACGGUAAGGCCCUGCUUGCAGGGUACACGAGUGGCGAACGGGUGCAUAACGCGUAUGCAACCUACCUUUAACUGGAAGAUAGCCCCGAGAAAUCGGGAUUAAUACUCCAUAAUAUCCUAACAUGGCAUCAUGAUUGGAUUAAAGCUCCGGCGGUUAAAGAUGGGCAUGCGUGACAUUAGCUAGUUGGUGAGGUAACGGCUCACCAAGGCAACGAUGUCUAGGGGUCCUGAGAGGGUGACCCCCCACACUGGUACUGAGACACGGUCCAGACUCCUACGGGAGGCAGCAGUGGGGAAUUUUGGGCAAUGGGCGAAAGCCUGACCCAGCAACGCCGCGUGGAGGAUGAAGGCCCUCGGGUCGUAAACUCCUGUCCUAGGGGAAGAAAAAAAUGACGUACCCUUGGAGAAGCCCCGCUAACU
rnacentral:rRNA from 1 species